rnacentral:rRNA from 1 species
ACAAAGUUAAAAGGCGCUUCGGCGUCACCUAGAGAUGGAUCCGCGGUGCAUUAGUUAGUUGGUGGGGUAAAGGCCUACCAAGACGAUGAUGCAUAGCCGAGUUGAGAGACUGAUCGGCCACAUUGGGACUGAGACACGGCCCAAACUCCUACGGGAGGCUGCAGUAGGGAAUCUUCCACAAUGGGCGAAAGCCUGAUGGAGCAACGCCGCGUGUGUGAUGAAGGCUUUCGGGUCGUAAAGCACUGUUGUAUGGGAAGAACAGCUAGAAUAGGAAAUGAUUUUAGUUUGACGGUACCAUACCAGAAAGGGACGGCUAAAUACGUGCCAGCAGCCGCGGUAAUACGUAUGUCCCGAGCGUUAUCCGGAUUUAUUGGGCGUAAAGCGAGCGCAGACGGUUUAUUAAGUCU